UUGAACGCUGGCGGCAGGCCUAACACAUGCAAGUCGCACGGUAACAGGAAGAAGCUUGCUUCUUUGCUGACGCGUGGCGGACGGGUGAGUAAUGUCUGGGAAACUGCCUGAUGGAGGGGGAUAACUACUGGAAACGGUAGCUAAUACCGCAUAACGUCGCAAGACCAAAGAGGGGGACCUUCGGGCCUCUUGCCAUCGGAUGUGCCCAGAUGGGAUUAGCUAGUAGGUGGGGUAACGGCUCACCUAGGCGACGAUCCCUAGCUGGUCUGAGAGGAUGACCAGCCACACUGGAACUGAGACACGGUCCAGACUCCUACGGGAGGCAGCAGUGGGGAAUAUUGCACAAUGGGCGCAAGCCUGAUGCAGCCAUGCCGCGUGUAUGAAGAAGGCCUUCGGGUUGUAAAGUACUUUCAGCGGGGAGGAAGGGAGUAAAGUUAAUACCUUUGCUCAUUGACGUUACCCGCAGAAGAAGCACCGGCUAACUCCGUG
rnacentral:rRNA from 1 species